AUGGCUAGUAAUUGGAGUUUCAGACAAUUUGGGGAGGUAAUUUGUAGCCAAUAUCCUUGGGGUUUGCUUGAUGAAGUGGUAUACAAAUACUAUGAUGGGGAAAAGAAAUGGGUGAUAGUUAGUAAUGAUGAAGAGCUAGCUACCAUGUUUGCUAGGCAUAAGGAGAAAGAGAAUUUUCAUGUGAGGCUGCAAAUUGAUGUGCUUGAGCAGGCAUUUGGACCUAGGAUGGCGGGUGCAACAUCUCGGGGAAAACCAAGUGGUCGUAAUGGCAUCUCUAGCCAGAACAGUUCAGUUAGUGCACGGCGACGUGGUGGCUCGACAAGAGUGGGCACCGGCAGUAGGGUCCCCCUUGAAGUGGAGCCUGAUGACUACAAUUCUGGGGUUGAUGAAGAGAAGCUAUAUUCUGAUGUUAUUCAGAAUUUACGACGGGCACCUCGGGCUGAAAACCAAGAUGAGGCUCACAAUGCAGUCCAUGUGGAUGAUGACGCGGUGGGUGAGGACGAAGACCUUGCAGCUGUUGGAUGGGACCCUUUGAACCCUCAUAUGGAAGAAGGUACCGUUUUUGCAUCCAUGACUGAGUGUAGAAAUGCACUUGUGACAUACUGCAUCAAGGUAGAACGUACUUUCAAAGUUUACAAGAGUGAUCAAGUACGUUACAGAGUGCACUGUCCGACUGAGGGUUGUCCAUGGAGGAUGCUCGCAUCUAAAAUGCGAAAUAGCACGAAUGCUCAGGUCAAAGUGAACCCUUUUAAACACACAUGCCAGGAAUCAACCCUUAGGAAGGAUACAAUCAGUAGAGCCAAGUCAAGAUGGGUGGCAGAAGAAGUAAAGAAGUUGGUGAAAGAAAACCAGCAAGUGGGUCCAAAGGAAUUGCAGAAGAACAUCAAAGACAAGUUCAAGAUAGAUUUACCAUACAUGAGGUUGUUCAAUGGUAAACAACAUGCUAUGGAUUCUAUUUCUGGGAGGUUUAAGGGACAGUUAGUAGCAGCUUGUGCAGUAUAG
rnacentral:rRNA from 1 species